GCUUAGCUCAGUUGGUAGAGCAUCUGCCUUACAAGCAGGGGGUCAUAGGUUCGAGCCCUAUAGC
rnacentral:tRNA from 1 species